rnacentral:rRNA from 1 species
UACGUAGGGGGCAAGCGUUGUCCGGAUUUAUUGGGCGUAAAGAGCGUGUAGGCGGUUCGGUAAGUCGGCUGUGAAAUCCCGAGGCUCAACCUCGGGUCUGCAGUCGAUACGAGCAAACUAGAGUGUUGCAGGGGAGACUGGAAUUCCUGGUGUAGCGGUGAAAUGCGCAGAUAUCAGGAGGAACACCGGUGGCGAAGGCGGGAUCCUGGGCCAGUACUGACGCUGAGGAGCGAAAGCGUGGGGAGCAAACAGG